rnacentral:rRNA from 1 species
UACAGAGGUGGCAAGCGUUGUUCGGAAUUACUGGGCGUAAAGGGCGCGUAGGCGGCCUUCUAAGUCAGACGUGAAAUCCCCCGGCUUAACCUGGGAACUGCGUCUGAUACUGGGAGGCUUGAGUAUGGGAGAGGGAUGUAGAAUUCCAGGUGUAGCAGUGAAAUGCGUAGAUAUCUGGAGGAAUACCGGUGGCGAAGGCGGCAUCCUGGACCAUAACUGACGCUGAGGCGCGAAAGCUAGGGGAGCAAACGGG